rnacentral:rRNA from 1 species
GGUAUUGAAAUAAGAUUUUAAAUGAGUGCUAAGAGAAUGAUUAAACAAUUAAAAACUUUCUUUAAUUAAAUAAUUAAAUUUAAUUUUUUUGUGCAAAAGCAAAAAUAAAAUUUAGGGACAAGAAGACCCUAUGAAUUUUUAUUAUUAAUAUUUUGCAAUUAAAUUAUUAAUAAUUUAAUUGGGGCGAUAAAAAAAGAAUAAAUAUCUUUUUAAUUAUUAAAUAAGUUCCGUUUUUAGCGAUUAAAUGAAAAAAAUACUCUAGGGAUAACAGCGUAAUAAUUUUGGAUAGUUCAUAUAGAUAAAAUAGUUUGCGACCUCGAUGUUGGAUUAGGAUUCUUUUUUGGUGUAGAA